rnacentral:rRNA from 1 species
UAGCGAAGGGGGCUAGCGUUGCUCGGAAUCACUGGGCGUAAAGGGCGCGUAGGCGGCGUUUUAAGUCGGGGGUGAAAGCCUGUGGCUCAACCACAGAAAUGGCCUUUCGAUACUGGGACGCUUGAGUAUGGUAGAGGUUGGUGGAACUGCGAGUGUAGAGGUGAAAUUCGUAGAUAUUCGCAAGAACACCGGUGGCGAAGGCGGCCAACUGGACCAUUACUGACGCUGAGGCGCG